rnacentral:rRNA from 1 species
UACGUAGGGUGCGAGCGUUAAUCGGAAUUACUGGGCGUAAAGCGUGCGCAGGCGGUUUUGUAAGCCAGAUGUGAAAUCCCCGGGCUUAACCUGGGAAUGGCAUUUGGGACUGCAAGGCUUGAGUGCGGCAGAGGAGACUAGAAUUCCUGGUGUAGCAGUGAAAUGCGUAGAUAUCUGGAGGAACACCGGUGGCGAAGGCAGCUCGCUGGGACGUGACUGACGCUGAGACGCGAAAGCGUGGGGAGCAAACAGG